rnacentral:rRNA from 1 species
GAUGAACGCUGGCGGCGUGCCUAAUACAUGCGAGUCGAGCGAACGGACGAGAAGCUUGCUUCUCUGAUGUUAGCGGCGGACGGGUGAGUAACACGUGGAUAACCUACCUAUAAGACUGGGAUAACUUCGGGAAACCGGAGCUAAUACCGGAUAAUAUUUUGAACCGCAUGAUUCAAAAGUGAAAGACGGUCUUGCUGUCACUUAUAGAUGGAUCCGCGCUGCAUUAGCUAGUUGGUAAGGUAACGGCUUACCAAGGCAACGAUGCAUAGCCGACCUGAGAGGGUGAUCGGCCACACUGGAACUGAGACACGGUCCAGACUCCUACGGGAGGCAGCAGUAGGGAAUCUUCCGCAAUAGGCGAAAGCCUGACGGAGCAACGCCGCGUGAGUGAUGAAGGUCUUCGGAUCGUAAAACUCUGUUAUUAGGGAAGAACAUAUGUGUAAGUAACUGUGCACAUCUUGACGGUACCUAAUCAGAAAGCCACGGCUAACUACGUG